rnacentral:rRNA from 1 species
UACGAAGGGGGCGAGCGUUGUUCGGAAUUACUGGGCGUAAAGCGUGCGCAGGCGGUUCGUUAAGUCAGAUGUGAAAGCCCCGGGCUCAACCUGGGAACUGCAUUUGAAACUGGCGGGCUUGAGUGUGGCAGAGGGGGGUGGAAUUCCGCGUGUAGCAGUGAAAUGCGUAGAUAUGCGGAGGAACACCGAUGGCGAAGGCAAUCCUCUGGACCUGUACUGACGCUCAUGCACGAAAGCGUGGGGAGCAAACAGG